rnacentral:rRNA from 1 species
CCUACGGGGUGCAGCAGUGGGGAAUAUUGCGCAAUGGGCGAAAGCCUGACGCAGCGACGCCGCGUGAGGGAUGAAGGUCUUCGGAUCGUAAACCUCUGUCAGCAGGGAAGAACGGUCACUGUGCUAAUCAGCAGUGAAUUGACGGUACCUGCAAAGGAAGCACCGGCUAACUCCGUGCCAGCAGCCGCGGUAAUACGGAGGGUGCGAGCGUUAAUCGGAAUUACUGGGCGUAAAGCGCUCGUAGGCGGUAUGUCAAGUCAAGGGUGAAAUCCCCGCGCUCAACGUGGGAACUGCCUUUGAAACUGGCAAACUGGAGUGUGUGAGAGGAUAGUGGAAUUCCAGGUGUAGGAGUGAAAUGCGUAGAUAUCUGGAGGAACAUCAGUGGCGAAGGCGACUAUCUGGCACAUAACUGACGCUGAGGAGCGAAAGCGUGGGUAGCAAACAGGAUUAGAUACCCUAGUAGUC